rnacentral:rRNA from 1 species
ACGAACGCUGGCGGCGUGCCUAAUACAUGCAAGUCGAGCGGAAUGAUGAAGAAGCUUGCUUCUUCUGAUUUUAGCGGCGGACGGGUGAGUAACACGUGGGCAACCUACCUUGUAGAUUGGGAUAACUCCGGGAAACCGGGGCUAAUACCGAAUAAUCCAUUUUGCUUCAUGGCGGGAUGUUGAAAGACGGUUUCGGCUGUCACUACAAGAUGGGCCCGCGGCGCAUUAGCUAGUUGGUGGGGUAAUUGCCUACCAAGGCGACGAUCCGUAGCUGGUCUGAGAGGAUGAUCAGCCACACUGGGACUGAGACACGGCCCAGACUCCUACGGGAGGCAGCAGUAGGGAAUCUUCCACAAUGGACGAAAGUCUGAUGGAGCAACGCCGCGUGAGUGAAGAAGGUUUUCGGAUCGUAAAACUCUGUUGUUAGGGAAGAACACGUACGAGAGUAACUGCUCGUACCUUGACGGUACCUAACCAGAAAGCCACGGCUAACUACGUG